UACGUAGGUCCCGAGCGUUGUCCGGAUUUAUUGGGCGUAAAGCGAGCGCAGGUGGUUUAUUAAGUCUGGUGUAAAAGGCAGUGGCUCAACCAUUGUAUGCAUUGGAAACUGGUAGACUUGAGUGCAGGAGAGGAGAGUGGAAUUCCAUGUGUAGCGGUGAAAUGCGUAGAUAUAAGGAGGAACAUCGGUGGCGAAAGCGGCUCUCUGGCCUGUAACUGACACUGAGGCUCGAAAGCGUGGGGAGCAAACAGG
rnacentral:rRNA from 1 species